rnacentral:lncRNA from 1 species
AAAAGAGUCCAAAAAAUACCCACAUUUGUAUAAAUUUAGAAACAGAGAGCAGGAAUUGGAAUGAUCGGAAAUGAAAACCAGAACUUACAAAGUGCGAGAAAAGCUCUCUACAAGUUGAACAACAAGCCGCUCUUAUAAAAUUGUCACAUGUUAUUUAAUAUAACACAUUGAUAUAAAAAUUAAAAAUAAAAUUAAAAAAAUUAAGGUUGUGCAGUUGCAAACCAGAGACCACAGCCAGAUCCGCCUUUGCUAGAGUCCCCAUACAUAAGGACACCAUUAUUCGGGAAAUGACCCAAAGCACAUAAACGAAGAAAUGCAACGGAAUACCUAAACGAACUAAUCAUUAACUAAUAGGGGUUAUAUGAGAUAACCCCCUUAUUUAAUUUCCUAAGAAGGAUAAGUCCAAUUAAUAAUUCUACUUUUGGGAUAACUCCAUCCCAUAGCAAAAUACUUAUAUUACCCUUGUGGUGUAUUUUUGAAUUUUAAUGUUUAAUUUAAUUUCCCAAAGCAACUCCCCUAAAAAUCCGCCUAAUCCCCCAAAAUCACUCAAAAAAUCUCAAACCGUCUUUUCAGAUUACCCGUACAUCUCGUCGAUCACAUCGCAAAAAAAAAAAAAAAAACAGAACACGAAAUAAUCAAAAUUCUCUAUACUUUUCAAAUUACCCGUACAUCUCAUCGCUCCCAUCACAAAAAAAAAAACACCGGCUCUUUCUGUGUUGUCUGGGAAGAUGGAGAUCUCCGCCCUAGAGGAUGAACGAACCGCGGCGACUGAUAUGGUAGAUGACAAGAAGGCAGACGCAGGCGGUCCAUUAAGGCGGUGAUGAUGACGAAGCGGUGGAGGUCUCACGUCGGGAAAGAUGACCGAGAUUUGGAGAAGAUAUAUUUGCUAUUGUCGAGGAAAAGAGGGGGCGCCUGUUGAAAUAAAAAAAAAAUCGAGAAAAAACGUGUGGUAGAAUUAGGGUAGAUGUAAUUGAUUUAUUAUAAUUUAAUAUUAAAUUAUAUGUUUUGUUAAAUAAAAAAUUAGAUCUAUA